AUGUCGGUUCUAAUCGUUACGAGUGUGGGCGACAUCGAUGUGGAUCUGCACACGGAGGAGUGCCCCAUCACCACCAAGAACUUCCUCAAGCUCUGCAAGAUCAAGUACUACAACGGCUGCCUCUUCCACAAGGUGGAGAGGGAUUUCCUGGCACAGACCGGGGACCCAACCGGGACCGGCACCGGAGGUCAUUCUGUGUACAAGAUCCUUCAUGGCGAUCAAGAUCGGUUUUUCGAUGACGAGAUCCGUCCGGACCUGAGGCAUUCAAACGCUGGCACCGUCGCCAUGGCAGGUGGCUCGCAGUUCUACUUCACCUUGCGGGACGGCGUGGACGGUCUUGAUGGUAAACACACUGUGUUUGGGAUGAUUGCUGAGGGUGAAAGUUUUGAUACGCUGGCAAAGAUAAAUGAAUCAUGCCUUGAUGAUAAAGGGAGACCAUUCAUGGACAUAAGGAUUAAACAUACAUAUGUCUUGGACGAUCCUUUCGACGAACCUCCUCGGCUUGCAGAACUCAUCCCUGGGAAUUCUCCUGUAGGAAAGCCACGUGAUGAGACUGCAGAAGAGCGCUCACAGGUCCCUUUCGAUGAAACAGUGGACUGCUCUGAAGAUGCACUCUCUAAUAAUGUUGUGAUCGUUAGCUGUGAUCACUGCGGCGGAGGCAUUCCAGGAGUCGAACAGCCAGACAAUGUCUUGUAUGUUUCUAAACUUAACCCAAUUACACAAGAUGAGGAUCUGCAUACAAUCUUUUCUCGUUUCGGAACUGUGACAUCGGCUGAAAUAAUUCGUGAGUGCAAGACCGGAGAUAGCUUAUGCUAUGCUUUUAUCGAGUUUGAGACAAAGGAGGACUGCGAGCGUGCAUAUUUUAAGAUGGAGAAUAGCCUGAUUCAUGACAGGAGGAUCCAGGUUGAUUUUGCACAAAAUGUCCCAAAGCUGUGGGGUCGGUUCAGGCAAAGCAAACUAAAUGCCGAUAAAGAUGAUGGGUGCCUCCUCAAGUGUGGUGCCCCAGAUCACCUGCCCCGAGAUUGUGAUCAAGGCGUUGAGGAGGAAAACAAAGGCACCAAUUAUGUUGUCAAAGAUCAAAACACUCACGGAGGCGGGAACAACCGCAGAAGUUACGAUUUAGCAUUCGACGAUGAAGGUAAUAAUGCUGAUCUGGAAGAUCAUCCAGGUGCCGAUCGAAAUAAGAUACUGAAAGUUGAAGCUUCCCCCUCAGGGUGA
rnacentral:rRNA from 1 species